UGCUCUUCUGUUUUCUUGUCAUCACAACCCGGGGUUUUGAUGACCUAAUCAGUAUAUUUCGCCGGGCCCCUUCUCGAAAGGUAGAAACAGUUUGAUCACUUACGUAGAACACUGUAUGCGAAUGCAUUUGUACGCAAUGUUUUCUGAUGUAAACCUUAUAUUAAGAAAAUCCCAUGAGGUUCCUGAGUUGAUUUCA